UAUUGAAGGCUGAUUCCUGUCCCAAAUCGAAAUCUGAACAUAGAUUCGUGAUCCUCAUCACAAGGGGGUUGUGAGGAAAGGAAGCCGGAGCUACGAGCGGACAAGCCGGUGUAGACGCACGACUAAAGGGUGCGCUUUGAAGUUUCUUGGUGUUGCAAAACUACGGAUGGCGAUCAAGCAACAUGUUGAAGAACCAAACACUACUUUUGAAGCUUCCGCAUUAAUUAACUCUGUUUAAACAAUGUUAUGAUGUAAACCGU